UGGAAAUAUUUUGUUUGAUUGAUUAAGAAAGAUAAAUUUGUCCUCAAAUACUAGGAGGGAAAAGAAAGACAUGGGACAAAUUCUGAAUGUAAAAAGAAAGUUAUAGGUUUGUGGAAGAGGAAUUCUGGAAAAAGAGUUUUAUGCAUGGUCAAGUUGGCUAAGAUUAAAAUGAAUUUAAUUAAGUAAAUGAGUUUUAAUAGCAGAAGUAAGCUAGUGCAAAAUUAAAAUUUGGUCUUCUGUCUCUUAAAAGGAUAAUUUGCUUAAACUUGAUAAAGAGGUUAUGAAAGAUUUUUCUUUACCUUUGGGUAAGUCUACCUAAAAGACAGAAAAAAAAAAAAAAAAACUUAAAAUAAUUUCCUGUGUUCAAAAGACUGAGGUCUCUCUAUUAAGGCUUUUUGGACUGGUAAUGCUCUGUUUGCUUUGACUUUUUAUAUUUUUGACAAGCUCCCCAAAAUUCAUAUCUUAAAUAAAGUCUUUUUUUUUACUUUUUUUCUUUGAGAAUUUUCAAAGGGCCCGGAACUUCUCAAAGAAAUUUGCUCUCUUCCUGUAAGGAGAAAGAUACUUACCUUAUUAGGCUUAUUCAGUAUGUUAAAUUACAUGGAAAACAUUGUCAGACAAGUGAUGAUAAGUCUGCUUAGGUGCUAUUAUGUGAGUAAAUGUUAUUGAUAUAGGUGUUUUAAAAUUGUAUAACAUUACUGAAAUUCUGAUCUGUCCUGGUUAUCAGUCAUAAUUCUGGUUAUUAUUAAAGUGUUGUAUGUCACAAAAUUAACCAAAUUUCUCUGUCAAUUGCCAUUUUGAGGUCUUGUUGUUUACAGACUUAUUUCUUUGCUCUAAUGCUUUUGCAAAAUGUUUCAACUUCAGAAAAAUUCAUGGAAAGGACUCUGACAUUUACACUGGAGUACAGGUUUCUGACAAACUUUCUGAUCAUAAAACUGAACUGGGUAAGAAAUUACAGAAAUCUGAUGGAGAAACUGAUAACUUCAUGAAGCUGCUAACAAAAAGAUUGGGAUCAAGAAUGGAUUACACAGGACUGAAUGAACUGAUAAGGAUGAUUAUAAUUUUUAUGAUUUUUCGUUUGAAGUAUUGCUGAAUUUUUAAUGUUUUGUUUUUUCACAUUUAAGGAAAACUUUUUCUCUUUUCUCCUGAGCUAGCUAUGACUUAUAGCAAUUUGGACACAAUUGAAAACACUGGUUAUAUUACCAAGGUUGUGACUGAAACAUCAUAUUUGCGAUGUAACCAUACAGCUUUUGAGAAAUGAAGAUUGGACUUUAUGGAAUAAAGCCACGUGGAAAUAUUGGCCUGGUACCUUAUGUUCCAAGCAGCACUUACCAGGAUGAGUAAAGAAUGUCACUUAUCCGGCAGGUACAAGGAAACUCGAAAUAUUUUGGGGGAACCUCGGAAGAGAGGAAUUCACCCAAAUCUGUAGGUAUUGCAGGCGAAGUCUGAUGACAAAAUCCUUGGCUUGGCUUUCCUGGCCUCAAGAGACCUUUAAAGUUCAAUCUGAGAUUCCUUAUAAAAAGUUCCAGCAAAGCAGAUUUAAAAGAGCCUAUGUGAUUAAUUGCUAUUCUUGCUGUACUUAUGUAAAUAAUUGGGCCAACUUUAUUGGAACUAGACUUAUUUUGCAAACUAGUUAGUUUUAAUUUGGCUAUCUUAAUAAAAAUGAGAGUGAUUUGAGAGAGAAAAAUUAUAUGUCAGUAAAAACUAUAGUAUACAUUUGGGGAUAUUAGAUCCUAGUUUUGUUAAUUGUCUUUUGAGGUUUUUGUUUUAUAUCUGUUGACUGGACUGGAUCCUGAUUUCUUCUAGUCUGCUGAAAUAUCUGGCUACAGAUCUCCAAACUAAUGUUUUUAAUUUUUUUCCCAUCAUUUUCAUUUGAAAUCACUGAAAACUGAACCUGCCCUUUUUCCUGAAGCCUUACAAACUGAAGCUGAUGGACUUGAUAUAAACUUAAGAGAUUACCCGAUGACAUCAUCAGAGACAUUUUAAACUGCAAAAGAUGCUUUGACGCUGACAUCUAAAACCUUCUUAACUGGCUGUCCUCUAAACUCAAAAACUGCUUUACAACUUGCUCCAACCAUUAACCUUUUUUUUCUUUUGUUUACAUAGAAAUGCUCCUACUAAAUAUUUGAUUGCUUGCUUCCACAAUAUAGGCGUAACCUUGAGAGCUCACCUACAUCACCACCUUCCAAAAGGAACUUAAUCACUACCUUCCAAAAGGAACUUAAUUGAACUGAUCUAUUAUCAGGACUAAAAAAUGUGUUCAGUGAGAUAAAACAAUCUACCAACUCAGCUUCUGGACUAUGAAACUUCUUUAAGUAUCAAAAGGACUGUGAAACUUGUAUUUUCAAAGGCGGGACUGUGGGAGAUCAAUAUUUGGCUCACCCUGAAAUAUAUAUCUUUACCUUGAUUGUUUUCUCUGAGGGACAUUUGACCUCCCCCACUAACUGUCUAAAGAAUUUGACAUGGUGGCUCCUUCCUGGAACAGAUCUUCUAUCACGAUGGCUGUAAAGAUAACGUAGGAUAAAUGUUACAGUAGGAAAGGCACCAACAAGCCCAUCUUAUCGGAAGUUCUGUCUCUCUGGCCACAUUCUCUGGAUGGCCCUGCGAGGAGUUGCCAGACAAACAUUUACAUUUAUAAGGGAAAUCUCCAUUUGUAAAGGUAUCUCCCUCUCUGUUUUGGGAAGAGAGGGGGGUGGCCUCAUUUCUAGAGGCUUAUCAAUGUGGAAGGUGAGGCCUUAAAUCUGCAUAAUAACCUUACUCUUGUUUACUGUGCUUUAGUGGUAAUCUCCUGUAACUGACUCCCCCCAUCCCCAACAUCCUCCUUUGUCGUUGGCUGAACAUGGUAUUUAAGACGAGAAUUUCUGCUGUUGUGUGGAGAAACGCAGUGUCCCUGCUUUCUCCCAUGUAUACAUGUUAUUACACUUGGUAUUAUUUUCUUCUGCUAA